rnacentral:rRNA from 1 species
GUUGAACGCUAGCUACAGGCUUAACACAUGCAAGUCGAGCGACGGGCGCACGUGAGAGUAACACGUAUCCACCCGGCCCUUUACUCGGUGACAGCCUUUCGAAAUAAAUAUUAAUACCCGAUGUCAAGGGUGGGGAUGCGUUCGAUUAGGUUGUUGGUGAGGUAACGGCGAACCAAACCGUCCAGGGAUAGGGGUUCUGAGAGGAAGGUCCCCCACAUUGGAACUGAGACACUGUCCAAAAUCCUACGGGAGGCAGCAGUGAGGAAUAGUGGUCAAUGGGCGUUAGCCUGAACCAGCCAAGUAGCGUGAAGGAGUAAGGCUUAUGGGUCGUAAACUUCUUUUAUAUAAGAAUAUGUAUUAUAUGAAUAAGGAUCGGCUAACUCCGUGCCAGCAGCCGCGGUAAUUC